UGGGGAAUAUUGGACAAUGGGGGCAACCCUGAUCCAGCCAUGCCGCGUGUGUGAAGAAGGCCUUAGGGUUGUAAAACACUUUCAGCGGGGAAGAUGAUGACGGUACCCGCAGAAGAAGCCCCGGCUAACUCCGUGCCAGCAGCCGCGGUAAUACGGAGGGGGCUAGCGUUGUUCGGAAUUACUGGGCGUAAAGGGCGUGUAGGCGGCCUGCCAAGUCAGAUGUGAAAGCCCCGGGCUUAACCUGGGAACUGCAUUUGAGACUGGCCGGCUAGAGGUUGGAAGAGGAGAGUGGAAUUCCCAGUGUAGAGGUGAAAUUCGUAGAUAUUGGGAAGAACACCGGUGGCGAAAGCGGUUCUCUGGAUCGAUACUGACGCUAAGACGCGAAAGCGUGGGGAGCAAACAGGAUUAGAUACCCUUGUAGUCCCUGAGCGGGCUGGCAAGGCGCAU
rnacentral:rRNA from 1 species